UGAAUGUACUUUGAAAGGAAGCACCGGCAAACUUCGUGCCAGCAGCCGCGGUAAUACGAGGGGUGCAAGCGUUGUUCGGAAUCACUGGGCGUAAAGGGAGCGCAGGCGGAGAUGCAAGCAGUCUGUACAAUACCGGGGCCCAACCCCGGACCUGCAGACUGGACUGUUUCUCUUGGAUAGUUCAGGGGCAAGCGGAAUUCCUGGUGUAGCGGUGGAAUGCGUAGAGAUCAGGAAGAACACCGAUGGCGAAGGCAGCUUGCUGGGGACUUAUCGACGCUCAUGCUCGAAAGUGCGGGUAGCAAACAGGAUUAGAUACCCUG
rnacentral:rRNA from 1 species